rnacentral:rRNA from 1 species
UACGGAGGGUCCAAGCGUUAAUCGGAAUUACUGGGCGUAAAGAGUGCGCAGGCGGUUUGUUAAGCGAGAUGUGAAAGCCCCGGGCUCAACCUGGGAAUUGCAUUUCGAACUGGCAAACUAGAGUCUUGUAGAGGGGGGUAGAAUUCCAGGUGUAGCGGUGAAAUGCGUAGAGAUCUGGAGGAAUACCGGUGGCGAAGACGGCCCCCUGGACAAAGACUGACGCUCAGGCACGAAAGCGUGGGGAGCAAACAGG